rfam:Picea glauca, whole genome shotgun sequence.
GUUUAGAUGGCCAAGUUAGUCUAAGGUGCCAGAUUAAGGUUUUGGUCCAAAAGGGUGUGAGUUCAAAUCCCACUCCCAACA